GGGGUCGACUGGUUUUGACAGCGAGUUGUAUUGAAUAGUAAGCACGUCGCGUAAGGACUUUGAAACGCGUUAAAGGCUAAGUCAACAUUUAAACGGCGAGAAUAACUACGCUUUAGCUGCUUAAUUUCUGAAUUAUAGUAAGAACUAGCCUCGGCGCACUAGGUGCGCAAGCUAAAUGUCCCUGAAAAGCCUUGGUUAACGGCGUUUCGACAAGGGGCAUCGUAAAAGUUAACAUAGAACGGUGGUAGCUUUGGCUGCCGUUUGAAACUUAAGAAGCUAAGUUGCAAGUGGGCCGUUUUUUGCCAGCUUGCAAUCGAAAACCAAGAAAAAACUAAACGUGUAGAAAGCUAUUUGAUAGCUUGUUUGGACGCGGGUUCGAAUCCCGCCGACUCCACAA
rnacentral:tmRNA from 1 species